AGAUAUCUCACCAUCCAUCACGAAGUUCUGUUUCUCAAUUAAAUACUCUUAACUUAAUUUCUUGAAGAUGCCAACGAUUUAUGUAAGCUUUCUUAUUUUUAGUUUUAUAGUGUAAAAUAAGAAUUUUUUCCCUCACUUUUCCUUUAGUUAUCUGUAACUUUAGGGGGUUUGUUCACAGGAGAAACGACUAUGGUGGUGAGGUAGGCAAGAUAGUAGAGGAGGUGAUGAGAGCAACGACUAUGGUGGUGGGAGCAGUAGCUACGGUGGCGAAGGCAGCAACUACAGUGGUAAACAUAGUGGUUGCGGUCAGUAUGAUGGUGGAGGUCAACUCCCGAUGGGGAUAGUUGCGCAAGAGAGAAGAUGAAUGGGGGAGAGAGAAUUUGGGUGAAAUCAAAAAGAAGAUCGGAAAAAUGGGGAAGCCAUUGGGAACAACAAGAUGUCUGCCCCUUCUCACUCCACUUCUUUCGCCAUUGUUUCUCGCUCUAACAAAAUUUUGGGUCGGGUCAGCUAAGUGGAUUGAAAUAAAAUUUAUUUUUUAUUUCGGUACGAGAUUGUCACGUGGCCCAGUAAAAAAAUGACACGUCAUUAAAUUGAAGGUCCACCGGUUAUGCUGUUAGUUGUGGAGGUAAUUUUAUUAAUAGAAUUAACGUCGCGUGUUUUUUUGGACGGAUAGAUGAAUGAAAGGUGUUUGUAAACCAUUUAGCAACAACAGGG
rnacentral:lncRNA from 1 species